rnacentral:rRNA from 1 species
CGUCCCGGGGCGCAAGCUGACGAGCCAAGUAGCGUGAGGAGACUGCCCUAUGGGUUGUAAACUUCUUUUAUAAAGGAUAAAGUCGGGUAUGGAUACCCGUUUGCAUGUACUUUAUGAAUAAGGAUCGGCUAACUCCGUGCCAGCAGCCGCGGUAAUACGGAGGAUCCGAGCGUUAUCCGGAUUUAUUGGGUUUAAAGGGAGCGUACAUGGAUGUUUAAGUCAGUUGUGAAAGUUUGCGGCUCAACCGUAAAAUUGCAGUUGAUACUGGAUAUCUUGAGUGCAGUUGAGGCAGGCGGAAUUCUUGGUGUAGCGGUGAAAUGCUUAGAUAUCACGAAGAACUCCGAUUGCGAAGGCAGCCUGCUAAGCUGCAACUGACAUUGAGGCUCGAAAGUGUGGGUAUCAAACAGGAUUAGAUACCCUGGUAGUCCACACGGUAAACGAUGAAUACUCGCUGUUUGCGAUAUACUGCAAGCGGCCAAGCGAAAGCGUUAAGUAUUCCACCUGGGGAGUACGCCGGCAAC